GACAAAGACUUAGUCCUAACCUUACCGUUGGUUGUUGCUAGGUAUAUACAUGCGAGUAUCCGCAUUCCAGUGUAGACGCCCUGGGUACCCUAAUCUAGGUCGACAGGAGCAGGUAUCAGGCACACCCAUGUUGUAGCCCAAAACGCCUUGCAAUUGCCACGCCCCCACGGGUUCUCAGCAGUAGUUAACAUUAAGCAAUGAGUGCAAACUUGACUUAGCCAUAGCAAAUCCAGGGUCGGUAAAUCCUGUGCCAGCCACCGCGGUCAUACAGGAGACCCAAGUCAACGUUAUAACGGCGUAAAGUGUGGUACUAUGUUAUCUAAAGUAGCUAAGAUUAAAAAGCAACUGAGCUGUCAUAAGCCCAAGAUGCCCAUAAGGCCUCCACCAAAGAAGAUCUUAGACCAAUGAUCCAUUGAAACCCACGAAAGCCAGGACCCAAACUGGGAUUAGAUACCCCACUAUGCCUGGCCCUAAAUCUUGAUGCUCGAUCUUACCGGAGCAUCCGCCCGAGAACUACGAGCACAAACGCUUAAAACUCUAAGGACUUGGCGGUGUUCCAAACCCACCUAGAGGAGC
rnacentral:rRNA from 1 species